rnacentral:misc_RNA from 1 species
UGAUCAGCUGAACCAAUGGGAAGUUGCAAUUUAUUCUUCCGGAAAAUCUUCGAGUUAACUCGCGCUUGGGAUUGUAAGAGAAGGCUGUUCUCAGGCUACCUCGAAAAAUGAGCGAUUCUGGAAAAGUCAAACCUGAAGCAAAUGGAGCAAAUAGAAGACAAGGAAGAAAAAGGUCAAGGUCUCCUGUGGACCGAACUCGAGCUCUCAAAGAUGGAUCACGUGACAGGCGCCGAGGUGCGGGUGGCGGAAAUUUGCCAUCAUCCAGAAUCAUUGUCAAGAAUUUGCCAUAUGAAAUCAAAUGGCAGACCCUGAAAGACAUCUUCAGAAGAGAAGUGGGAGAUGUGUCUUUUGUAGAAGUACUGGAAGGUCCUGAUGGAAAAUCAAAAGGGAUUGCGGUGAUUGAGUUCAAAGACAAGGAACAUGCCAAGAAGGCCAUUGACAAAAUGCACAAGUUCAAAGUUGGAGACAGAGAAAUUGUUGUCAGAGAGGAACGUGAGCGGGAUCGCCAGUUCUUUGAGCGACAGAUGGGCAUGGAUGGUCGUGGGAUGGGAGGUGAUAUGGGAGUUUGCGGAUUGGAUGUAGGAAGAGGAAUGGAUAUGCCCCGAGGAAUGGACUUAGUCAGAGGAAUGGACAUGCCUCGUGGGAUGGACUUUGUCAGAGGCAUGGAUCUGUCUCGAGGGAUGGAUGUUGGAGGUCGAGGGAUGGAUGUUGGAGGACUGGGAAUGGGAGGUGGCUUGGGUCUUGGAGGAGGACUGGGACUUGGCAGUGGCAUGGGAUUGGGAGGAGGUGGAGGAAGUGGAGGCUUGAUGGGUGGUGGCAUGGGGGUUGGGCCAAGUGAUGUGAGCCCUGAGAUCCUUGCUCAACUAGGAAUUGAUGGACCUGUCACCGGCACCGUCUUUGUUGCCAAUCUUGAUUAUCAGGUUACUAGAUGGAAACUAGUAGAAGUCUUCAGACUGGCUGGCAAUGUGAUAAAUGCUGAAAUCAAAGAAGACAAGAAUGGUAAAUCCCGUGGAAUGGGUAUUGUUGAAUUUGAAUUUCCUAUUGAGGCUGUUCAAGCUGUCUCGAUGUUUAAUGGUCAGACAUUGUUUGACCGAAAAAUGAUGGUCCGCAUUGACAAACCACCACCAGAAGAAAAGCCUUUGCCUCCAAAACUUCCAAGUGGCCUAAAGUCUAUUGGCAUGGGUCUUGGUAGUGGAGGGGCACCACUUACCAACUUGUCACAAGCAAGUGGUUUGGGAGGUGGUCCUGGGUUUAGCAUGCAGGGUGCUGGAAUGGGAGGAUUGGGAGCAGGUGGUUUGGGAUUGGGUUUGGACAUGGGACUAGGGGCAGGCACAGGAGGCUUAGGAGUAUCAGGUUCUUUUGGAGGUGUAGGAGGUUUGUCAGGUGUCAUGGGUACAGCAGGCCUUGGAGGAGCAGGGUCAUUAGGGCCAAGUGGCUCGGUAGGCGUUGGUCUGGGUUUGGGAGGUGCCAUGGGCAUGGGCCUAGGAGAUUCUCUAGGUGGUAACAGUAGUCUUGGUUCCUCCAAGAUGGGGCCUGGUCUUGGUGGCCUUGGGGGUGGAGCUGAUAAUAUGGGAGGUGUAGGCAUGGGAGGCAUGGGGCUUGGAGGUGGAGUUGGGAUGAUGGGUGCAGCACCAGGAGUUGGUGGUUUGGGAGGUAACUCUGGUUUAGGUGGGGGUCUUGGUAUUGGAGGCCCUCAUGAAGGUGGUGGCAGAGGUGGAUUUGAUGCCUCUCCACGUUCAGGUUAUGAUGCUGGAGGACGAGCUGCUUUUGACGGUAGCGGUCGAGGUGGAUACGACUCACUUGGGAGAGGCACCAUGUCAGAUUUGCGGGGCCGAGAUAAUCUAGAUCUUGGAGGACGAGGUGGCCUUGACCUGGGCGGAAGAGGUGGAUAUGAUCGUAGUGGCCUUGAUGUAGGGAUGGGAAGUAGAAACAGUGGCUUGGAUGUUGGUGGACGUGGUAGUUAUGAUACACUUGCUGGCCGUGGUGGUUUAGAGGAUUCCAGGGCAGGGUUUGAUUCUGGUAGAAAUAUUGAUGUCAACAUGAGAGGCAGUGGGUUUGAUGUUGGCCGCAACAGCUAUGAAAGUGGCAUGAGAGGAACUGGUGGUUUUGAAAACACUGGCCGAGCAGGACUUGACACAACAGGACGUGGAAAGGAUACCGAUGGCAGAUCUGAUCGCAGUGGUCGAACAGGCGGCCGCUCAGGAGGCAAUUGUUCAAUUCUUGUGAGAAAUUUGCCGUAUACCAUUACCUGGCAAGAUCUGAGGGAUCGGUUCCGCGACAUUGGUGAUGUGAAGUAUGCAGAGAUUGUAAUGGACAAAGGUCGUCCAACUGGUGAUGCAUUGAUUCGUUUUGGAAGUGAAGAAGAUGCAGUUCGUGCAAUCAAUCUUCUUGAUCAAACUCGUCUUGAAGGUCGCACCAUCAGAGUGGUCUUGCGUCCAUGAAUGCACGUGGUUGGACCAAGCAGCUUGCCCUUCUCAUUGGAAGCUGCAGUAAUCAGACACCACAACUUUUGGUGAACAAGAUUAAAAGUUGGCAUGUUUAUCCAUGAGGUUUGAUCACCAUUGAAAUCAAGCACCUUGGUGCAGGCAUGUCGAUAUUUCUCUAGAUGUGGGUUCCCUUCCCCUACCACCACCACAUCUGAUGCUUUUGUCAUCCCACAACCUGAAGGCUGGAAGAUUAAAAGAAAAAGUCCGUGAUUUACCCAUGAUUUUUUUUAAAGCAAUUUGAAUGCUUGAGUUUAUGAGAUGAAUGCUUGACGCUGGUUGCACCAUUACCAUUAAGCUUAAUCACAUUGGCAGGUUUAUAAAGUUUAAACCAAAAUUAAAUGUGGCUAUAAAAUGA